GACGAACGCUGGCGGCGUGCUUAACACAUGCAAGUCGAACGAAGUGGCGAACGGGUGAGUAACGCGUAAUCAACCUGCCCGUCAGAGGGGAACAACAGUUGGAAACGACUGCUAAUACCGCAUACUGAAGGAGGGGAUUGCGUCUGAUUAGCUCGUUGGCGGGGUAACGGCCCCCCAAGGCGAAGAUCAGUAGCCGGGCGUGGAGGUAGGACGGCCCCAUUGGGACUGGGAAAAGGCCCAGACUCCCACGGGAGGCAGCAGUGGGGAAUCUUCCGAAAAGGACGAAAGUCUGACGGAGCAACGCCGCGUGAGUGAUGACGGCCUUCGGGUUGUAAAGCUCUGUUAAUCGGGACGCGGUACCGGAAUAGAAAGCCACGGCUAACUACGUGCCAGCAGCCGCGGUAAUUC
rnacentral:rRNA from 1 species